CUGACGUGGUGCAUGCAAAUUGUAGUUAUACAAGGAUACCAAGGGAGGCAGGAUUCACGACUGGUUGGCGACAGCUGCAACACACGCUGCAUGGUGUACCUGGGAUCCGUAUCAGUCGGUGUUGGCUGACUUGGUGCAUGUGUACUCCUGCACUCCUGCCAAACACAACAACAUGGCUGACAAGAAGUAUGAAGAAUGUUGCAACAGGUGUCGGGUUAUUGAUGCAUUAUUCAUGACUAUGAUGCACUAAAGAGGAAUGUCUUUAGUGUAGAUUUAGAGAUGGAAAGGGUGUCUUCUUCUCAUAUGGAGGCAGGAAGAUUAUUCCACAGGAGGGGAGGCUUGAUAGCAGAAGGCUCUGCCUCCUACUGUGCUUUUUCAUAUUGAAGGAGACCUGCACUCUGUGAAUUAAGUGGUCUUGGUGGGCAGUAGGGGACGACUAAUUCCUUGAGGUAAUUUGGAGCUUAGCCAUUUAGGGCUUUGUACAUUAGAAGAAGUACUUUGAAAUCAAUUGUACUUUUGACAGGGACCCAGUGCAGGGAGACAAGUGCAGGUGAGAUAUGUUCAUAUUUUUUUGUUUUAGUAAGUGUAUAAUUUGGAGGCUCUUUAUUCAGUUGUUGCUCCGUACAGAAGGGCAUUGUAGUAGUCUCGCAACUUAAUAAAAGCAUGGAUUAGUUUUUCUGCAUCUUGGAAUGAUAGGACUUUUCUGAUUUUGGCAAUAGAUGAAAGAUGAAAAUAUUUCUUUGAGGUCUGUUUUAUGUGUGAGUCAAGUAGGAGGUCUUGGUUGAUAAUUACACUGAGAUUUUUGGUGCAAGUGUUGGAUGUUAAUGAGAUGCCAUCGAGUGUGGGUAGAUGGCUAGAUAAUGUCAUUACAUUUUUUUAGGGCCUACAAGCAUAACCUCAGUUUUAUCUAAAUUAAGGAGCAGGAAGUUGUACAACUUUCUAGUUGUACAAUUUUGUCAGGUUUCAUGCAUAAGUAAAGUUUGGAUAUAGGCGUAUCGUUAGCCAUGUUAUCAGAAUCAAGGUUAGGUUUUUUGAGAGAUUUGAUCACUGCUAAUUUGAAUGAUUGUGGAACGUAUCCUAAAAUGAGUGA
ensembl:lncRNA